UACACUCCUGCGGGAGGCAGCAGUGGGGAAUUUUGGACAAUGGGCGAAAGCCUGAUCCAGCAAUGCCGCGUGUGUGAAGAAGGCCUUCGGGUUGUAAAGCACUUUUGUCCGGAAAGAAAUCCUUGGCUCUAAUACAGUCGGGGGAUGACGGUACCGGAAGAAUAAGCACCGGCUAACUACGUGCCAGCAGCCGCGGUAAUACGCAGGGUGCGAGCGUUAAUCGGAAUUACUGGGCGUAAAGCGUGCGCAGGCGGUUUGCUAAGACCGAUGUGAAAUCCCCGGGCUCAACCUGGGAACUGCAUUGGUGACUGGCAGGCUAGAGUAUGGCAGAGGGGGGUAGAAUUCCACGUGUAGCAGUGAAAUGCGUAGAGAUGUGGAGGAAUACCGAUGGCGAAGGCAGCCCCCUGGGCCAAUACUGACGCUCAUGCACGAAAGCGUGGGGAGCAAACAGGAUUAGAAACCCCAGUAGUCCCAUGAU
rnacentral:rRNA from 1 species